GGUACGGUAGCAGCUAUUUGCUUGCAGUAUCACUAGAGCAAAAAAUAUUUAAAUGAAACGUCUUUUAAUGCUUUGUUGUGAGCUUUAUAUGGUGCAUGACACUGCAAGCCAAAGCAGCCUGUUUUGGCGGUAUCGAUAUAAAGGCCGCUUUCUAAGAGUAUGUUCUGGCUGUUGGCGCAAUGCGCUGGUCUGUGGGCAAUAAGCGUAACGGUUUCUUAUAGAAUGCGAGCAGGCGUUGUGCGAGCGAAACAGUCAAGCAUGUAGCACUUUCAUUUGUGUACCUUAUGAAACAUUGGGGUGUUGCACCCGCACUUUGAACGUACCAUAACCGACUGUUGUAUUUGCGAAUGAAGGGAAGUUCAGCUUAGUACGACGAGUGCAAAUCUCGUCUUCAGCAUUCGUCCACUUUCGUGGGGCAUUCGGCAGAUCGUAUUGGUAGUAGUAUCCUAAUUCACAUGGUGGCUGUGAUACCUUAGCCGCAAUAAUAUGUGACGACUGACGGCAGGGCCACUUGUUACUGCAAACCUGGGUCCAUAUUUGUUUGUGACAGGUGGUGCAUGCGCUGCUCCUUGGGGAGCUCUGGAACAGGAUAUGCAGUUAGUAAACAUGACGCCUAUCUUCACUGCUUCUUCCCUGUACAGAAUGAAAAAAUUUGCGGUGGUGAAAUUUCCACAAGAAAAAGACUGUGUGGCAGCCGUGCCCCUUUCAUGGCUGUCGGAAAAUCGUGCGAUCUGCCACUGGCCAUCAAAAGAUGCAGGCCUGGAUGCUCCGGCCCUGGCCAAGCAGGAGGCUUCACCAGGCACUGUGGAGGAAGGGUGGGAGCCCUUUUCAGUUGAUGUACUGGGAACUUCGAGCAAGCACCUACCAAAGAGCGGAGAAAAAGCUUACCAAGUGGAUACACACAUGUUCCAUUGAGUCCUCGGAGAUUUCCGACAAUGCAGCACCGGUAGAAAUGAGAGCAGAGGCGACUCAUCCCCGUCUGCAGAUACCAGUACUAUCCCCACAGGCCCCAUCAAGCUCCUGUUCAAGUGACGGUCCUAGUAAUUCUGCUCCGGCAUCGAAGCAGCAGUCACAGCGGGUAGAAGAGCCUUCACAGAUCCAGGCGAAUGAUGGAGCAACCUACAUUGUGCACUUUGCCUGAGGUGGGAGAAGACGCCACCAGCUUGGAGGCACACGAGGUGUGGUUAUGCAACGAGGGAAAAAAGGUGGCACCGAACGAAGAGCAGAUUGAUGUGCGAAUGGAUGCCACUGCGAGCAGAAGGCUUCGGAACCUUUCAACGAUGGACGCUCCUUCUGUCAAGGAAACAUAUCCCUACCUUACGGAUGCCAGGAGGUUCAUCAAAUAUUUCGAAAGACAAAUGAAGAUGGAGCCAAUGCAGUCGAUGGCCCAAGGUAUUGCAAGCGUGAUAAGCCUUCCUACACGCAAGAUUUUGUCGUCCAAGCAAAAGCUCCUUCAAGACGUUGAAAACAUCUUGGCUCAGGACACUGAAUGCAAAUGAGCGAAACACAACCUGGCAGUGGCAGCCCUGAAAAUCUUGUCCAGCAAUGUGAAAGAAGCGGCGGCAUUCAAGCUGGUGUUUGUGGAGGAAGAUGCAAGUUUCGCAAACCUUCUCACUGCUGUCCUUUGUCAUAAAACCUAA
rnacentral:misc_RNA from 1 species